UGGGGAAUAUUGGACAAUGGGCGAAAGCCUGAUCCAGCCAUGCCGCGUGAGUGACGAAGGCCUUAGGGUUGUAAAACUCUUUCGUCGGGGACGAUAAUGACGGUACCCGAAGAAGAAGCUCCGGCUAACUUCGUGCCAGCAGCCGCGGUAAUACGAAGGGAGCUAGCGUUGUUCGGAAUCACUGGGCGUAAAGCGCACGUAGGCGGAUAGUUAAGUCAGGGGUGAAAUCCUGGGGCUCAACCCCAGAACUGCCUUUGAUACUUGCUGUCUCGAGGUCGAGAGAGGUUGGUGGAAUUCCUAGUGUAGAGGUGAAAUGCGUAGAUAUCAGGAAGAACAUCAAUGGCGAAGGCAGCCUUCUGGGCCAUUAUUGACGCUGAGGCUCGAAAGCGUGGGGAGCGAACAGGAUUAGAUACCCCCGUAGUCCCUGAGCGGGCUGGCAAGGCGCAU
rnacentral:rRNA from 1 species